UACGAAGGGGGCGAGCGUUGUUCGGAUUUACUGGGCGUAAAGGGCGCGCAGGCGGCUCAUUUUGUCAGGCGUGAAAGCCCCGGGCUUAACCUGGGAACUGCGCUUGAGACGGGUGGGCUAGAGAUCGGGAGAGGAGAGUGGAAUUCCCAGUGUAGAGGUGAAAUUCGUAGAUAUUAGGAAGAACACCAGUGGCGAAGGCGGCUCACUGGCCCGGUGCUGACGCUGAGGCGCGAAAGCGUGGGGAGCAAACAGG
rnacentral:rRNA from 1 species